AGCAGCCGCGGUAAUUCCAGCUCCAAUAGCGUAUAUUAAAGUUGUUGCAGUUAAAAAGCUCGUAGUUGAAUUUCGGGGUUAGCAAGUUGGUCGUGCCUUUGGUAUGCACUGGCUUUGCUGAUUCCUCCUUCUUGAAGAACUGUGAUGCUAUUAAUUUGGUGUUGCAGGGAAACAGGACUGUUACUUUGAAAAAUUAGAGUGUUUAAAGCAGGCUAACGCUUGAAUACAUUAGCAUGGAAUAAUGAAAUAGGACGUUUGAUCCUAUUUUGUUGGUUUCUAGGAUUGACGUAAUGAUUAAUAGGGAUAGUUGGGGGCAUUAGUAUUCAAUUGUCAGAGGUGAAAUUCUUGGAUUUAUUGAAGACUAACUACUGCGAAAGCAUUUGCCAAGGAUGUUUCAUU
rnacentral:rRNA from 1 species